rnacentral:lncRNA from 1 species
GAGGUCCGAAGGUGCACUGCCCUCUCGGGGUGCAUUUCUCCCCGAAGCCCUGAACGCAACGCAGCAAAUUAACACACCAUCAAGCAAGCUGAGUGAGUACACCUCCUACUCCUGUGAUUUCUGCUGCUCGAACAUCGUCUUCAUGGUGUAGCAACCAGUAAGAAAUUACUCACCGGCAUCCUUCCCUUCCCAUAGUAUGUUAUGUUGUAGAGUUCGUCCUCUGUGGCAACUCCAUUCCUGCAGCAAAUUGGCCCUUAAUUUUGCCUUGCCAAAUCCAUCAAUGAGCAGCCAAAGUACACAUGAGCAUACCUCUCAAGAUCCUUCAUGAAAAGAGUGGCACCCUGGACAUGGCAAAUCAGCAAGCUAAGAACAAGCAAUGGCCAUAGUAGGAAAAAGAAAAGGCUGAAAUUUGCGUCGAGGUUUCAGAAACUCGCCGGCUGUAGGAUGUUUCCUCCCAUAUCAUGGCAUCCGAUGCACGCCUUCCGGAACAACGCUGCACCUUCCGAUUGAGCAAACGCUGCAACAACAAAUUGGAUUCCGAUCAACAAGAACGCGUCAUGCAACGCGUGGAUUCAUUCGGAGUACUUCCGUUUCCUCUGCUGCUUUUUCUACUGGAAUUCAUUAUCUUCAGUGAAGCUAGUAGCUUUUUCCAACGCAUCUUGGAACGUUUGGAAAAGAAGAACUAACCUGGCGGUGUCGCAGCAGGGAAGCCAGGAGAUGCUGCGGCCGCGGCGAGGAGGAGCGCCGCGGCGGCGAAGAGCGGCGUGGCCGCGCGCCCUGCCGCCNNNNNNNNNNNNNNNNNNNNNNNNNNNNNNNNNNNNNNNNNNNNNNNNNNNNNNNNNNNNNNNNNNNNNNNNNNNNNNNNNNNNNNNNNNNNNNNNNNNNNNNNNNNNNNNNNNNNNNNNNNNNNNNNNNNNNNNNNNNNNNNNNNNNNNNNNNNNCCGCGGUGGCCGUGAGGCCAGCGGAAGCCGGUGCAUAGCGCUGCUGCUGCUCCUUCCUCCGCCGUCGCGGUGGGGACAGGGCUAAUCUUGGAGGCCAGGGUCUGAGCCUGACGUGGUUCAGAUAGAAGCCACGUGUCCGGAUGGAUUAGACGGCGCAGGCUCUAGAUAUUGAAAAGAAUUUUUUUUUAUUAUCAGGAGCACGGUCGAUCGGAUAUCGAAAAAAAUUUUAGGCAGGAAUAAGAAAAUGAAUUUUAUAGCUCGUUUAGAAACCGAGACGAAUCUUUUGUGUUUAAUUAAUCCGUGAUAGUAUAUGUGGAUUAAUGUAGUACUUAUAGCUAAUUAUGGACUAAUUAGGCCCUGUUUCUUUUAGCUAAUUAUUAUAAUUCGGAUUAUUGGAAGUAAGCUGAAAAAACAGACAACUUACUAAAAUAGCUUAUUAUAAUCUGGAGCCCAGCUUAUUAUAAUCUGAUAAGCUCAUUUAGGUGAGCUUUUUCUAGCUUAUUAGGUGAAAAAUUACCCACCAUGCCACCUCAAUCCCUCUUUUAACUUGCAAACCCAAUAAUUUAGACUCUAAUAAUCUAGGAAAGAAACAACUCACAGCUUAUUCUAUUACAAAUUAUAACAAUAUAGCUUAUAAUAAUCUGACUCAAUAAUCUAAAUUAUAAUAACCUUAAGUUGAAAGAAACAAGGCCUUAACUUAGUAUUAAGAGAUUCGUCUCAUGAUUUCUUUCUAACUGUGCAAUUAGUUUUAUAUUUUAUCUAUAUUUAAUACUCUAUUUAGAUGUACAAAGAUUUGAUGUAAUAUUUUUUGUAAAAAUGUUUUUUUAACUAAACGGGACCUGUAUUGUCAAGACAUUUAGGGCCUCAUCGGAUGGCCAUAUGAUGAAAAUACGCCAGAAAAAUUAAUAAUUCGUGAUUAACUUUUACAUUUGAGUUCAUAUUAUAUUUUAAGUCAAUAUAAAAAGAAAAGUAUAAAACAACAUCAAAAUAAUUUAAAAUUUAAGUUUUAAAAUUCAAAUUUUGACUGGAGCCUUAGUCUACUAGCAGACUAAGUAUUAGUAAAAGAUAAAAAGAUGGGAGCCUUACAGCAAGCUCAAUAGUAUAGCCAACUACUAGCUCCAAUUUUUCUAUAGUCAUUCUAAUAGCUAAUUCAUACAAUAGUUAUCUACAAAACAUUAGUAACACACUAUGUCUUGGAGUCCGUAUACAGCUGGUAGCACACCUCUCUUCUCUCUUCUCUUUCUCUUUAAAAUAUGCUUAUAACUGGCUUAUAGCUUGCUAUUGUACCUGUUCUUAAGAGUGUGGUAGCAGUCUAGUAUUUCCUCCAUUUCAUAAUAUAAGAUAUUUGACUUUUUUAUUACAAUGUUUGAUCAUUUGUCUUAUUUAAAAAAUUAUGGAAAUAUCAUUUAUUUUGCUUGUAACUUACUUUAUUAUCAAGAGAACUAUAAGCACAACUUGUCAUUUUUUAUAUUUGUACUAAAUUAUUGAAUAAUACGAAUGGUCAUACGUUGUAACCAAAAAAUUCAAACAUCUUACAUUAUAAACGUGAUAAAACGCGGUAGUAGCAGAUUUAAGGGAUGAUGCAAUGCUUGUCCAGCACUGCAGCUUGAUGGCCCGGUAGACACAAUGCCAGCUUACCAAAGUAAAAUCAGAUCAUUUGCUGGCAGGAAGUAGGAACAUCGCGUAGCUCUUGUUUAGAUCAACAUAAUGUAAGGUUUGGAAUGCAGCAGAUGCAAGUUUUCCCAGCUGCGAGGGUUGUAUAACCUAGCAGGCAUAAUGGAUUUUCGGACUUCUAUCCUGUGAUUAUAGACAACACGGACGGAGGAUUAAAUUCCUUUUCCCGAUGACUAAGCGAGCAAAAUGGAAGCCUGCAUAGAAAUUCAGAGUGCCAACAUGCAUUGUUUGGAUGGAGUCCGGAGGCUAAAAAUACAUACAGUAGUACAAACUAGUACCAAACUAAAUGAAAAGGAUGCAAAAAUCAAAUGUGAUAUCAUAUACUCCUUUCAUGUAUCUAGAACUCUAGAUUCAUCUAUAAAUUAGUAUAUAUUGUUUAUAUAUAUUCAUAGAUUCAUUAGCAUCCUCUAAUUAAUGCUAAAAAAUAUUACAUCCCUAUCUUUUUACUUCUGCUUACGAAUUUUUAACUUUGAAUUUAGAGUUCAUUUUGAGGUUUUUUCGCUGAAAUUUAUUUCCAGCAUUAGGUUGUUGAUAUUUAAGAAUGCAUAUAUAUAUAUAUAUAUAUAUAUAUAAAAUUUUUAUUCAUAAAUUAUUAUUAUUAUUUGUUUCCAAAUAUGACAUUUAACUGUUUUCAUAAAAAAGCUCAAACAAUCACCCCAUUAAAUUCUGAAACGGAUGUAGUAUUUGUCAUUACUCCACCCAAAUACAUGAGCAUCUGAGACAGAAAUGGUUGAAUUCGAUGUACAUCAAUUUCCAAACUUUGAAAUAACAUCCAAAUGUGUAUUUUGAUUUAUUAAUAUCUAGAUAUAUAUAUCAAUGACAUGAAGACCAGAAACGUAGCAGAAAACAUAGGUAAAGUAUUCGCAUAAAAAUAAAUUAGGCUAAAAAUUUCUUAUGUCAGUUAUGUGGAAAGCGUAAUACCAUGCUAACGACGUUGUGGCUAGCAUCAAUUUGUCAUGUAUAAUAGUAAGAAAUCAACAAAUUUGUUUUACUAACUUGCAUUUUUCUUGAGGGCUCUUGCUUGAAUUUGUCCACCUGCUAAUCUAGAAUUCCCAGUGAUUUUGACUUAUGAGCCUCAAUAUGUUUCUAAAAAUUAUGCAUCUAUUAUAACUUAUAGACCGACACCCCACUGCAAUUUGACGCAGGCAUGUAAGAACUGGAAUUAAUGCUGAACUCAUCAUUUUCUUAUUUCAGGAAAUGCUCGUGAUAGAAGCUCGUUGAUAUAUGAGCAGCUGGGACAGCAACAUGCCAUCCUUUUUUAUGGCUGCCUCUAACCUCUGCUUAAUUUGAGCAUCACCGCCGAUAAACUCCAAACGAUCUCAAAUGCAAAUAUUAACAGAUAAUGGUUACUUGUGCCUGCGAUUGCUUUGUGAUGUGCAAGUUUAUAAAUUAGUUAUACAGAAUAUCAAAGAACACAUUUAAAUGAGAGAUUGUUCAGAAGCAAUAACAUGUACUUGGGAAGUCAUUUUAUUAUUUGUUACAGUU